CUAAUGAAGAAAAAGAAGAAAGUAUCGAUGCAAUUGGCUUCCCCUCGAGUUUGCUUUUGAAUAAAUCAGAUCAAUGGAAUACCAAAAGGGAUCGGAAGAACUUGGCCAGCAUGUUCUUCUUGGGAACCACCGAGAUGCGUAGUCAUGUUGAGCAUUUGGGUGGAUUCGAUGAAGGACAAUUGGGAUGCUGAGGAAUUUGGAAUGAUUGGUUCCAAAGCUGUAGCAUACCCAAAGGUAGACUUCCGCGCGCUUCUUGGAAUUGUUUUAUUGCUAUAGCUCCACCCUCAGCAAUGCAUUAUAAUUAACA